rnacentral:snoRNA from 1 species
CAUGGCAAUGAUGACCCAUUUGCUCUCACUGAGAACAAAGUUCAGUAAUGAGAUUCUUUGUUAUGCACUUGAGUUCUGAGCCAGA